ACGCUCCCGAGGGUUGGGCUUGUGUGUGGCCUGGAGGAGGCAUGUCCCCCUCCCUGGACCUCCCCUGCAACUCCCCCCGCCCCUGGCCUGAUGGCUUCCAGAUGCUGGGCUCUCAGCAGAGGCUGCCGGCCCCACCCGAAGCCGCAGCCCCGGCCUCUUCCUGAGGGGCCCUCCCGGGGUGCCCUGUUCCAGGACUGGGCCAAGGGGGCUCAUGCCCCUGAAUGUGGGAGAACAGGAAAAGGGUUCUGGGCAGCUCCUGCUCCAUUGAUGAAGGCAGUCUGGGGUCAAGGGGCUGCCAAGUCUAACUCCCCUGCUGUGUGCCCUGGCCCCUUCGCCAGCCUGCAGGCGGAAAGGAGUUUGCACGGACCCCGGAGGCAGCACAUCUGCAACAGCUGGAAACAGCCGUGGCCUUCCUGGCCCCACCCAGCCUGCCCAUCUGUCCAGCCUUGGCUCCCUGUGGGACCCUGGACGCAUCGCUGCCCCUUCCCCGGCCUCGGCUUCCUCUCCCAAUAGAGAGGUGUCCAACGCCGGAAGUCUGGAUGCAAAUCAGCCUCCUUCCGUCCUCAUCAAGCCAAGCCCCCUCCUCCAUCAGGACCCAAAGGCCCAGGGCCUGCACCCAGGGUACAAGUCUCUUACAGGGUCUUGAAAUGUCCGCACUGCAAAAGGGGCCCGGGCCCCCCACUUUCCAUGAGACUUUAGGGUGCAGGGCAGAGAGGGGAUGGUUUUAGGGUCGGUCAGCUGGAUGUCAGUGCUCUCACUUCUCCCGGUUCCCCUGCCCUGAAGUGGAGGUGAUAGGGGGACUGGAGCAGGCCUGCUGCACGGCUGUGUGUGGCCCAGCCUUAGGGCGGAGUCCAGGCUCCCAGGCCUGGCACAAACUCAGACCAUACCAUGUCUGAGAGGCCAGCAGGCCAAGGGGACCAGGACUGCUCUGCAGUGGGUGGCUUAAAGCUGGGGCUCUUUGGAGGUAAGAGGUGGGAAGAGAUGUCCAUAGGAAGCCACAACACAAGACCUCGUUGACAUUUUUCCCUGCCUGAUUCUCACAAAACCCAGUGGGGUGGCCGAGAUUACAGUGAGCAAGCAAUGCAGGGUCGUGGGAAGGAAGGUGAUGAUCCCAAGGUCAAGUAGCCAGACCUGGCACAACAGCAACCUGCAGAUGCCAACCCACUGAAGCGCCUCUACUGACUGCUAGUUCACACAGCCCGCCACUUAUCAGAAGCGGGUGUGUGACUGCAAGCUCAGCCAUCACCCCUGCCCCUCUGAACACAAGCCCACAAGUGAGGUGACUUGCCCAAGGUCACACCCAGCAGCUGGGCAGGGCAGGGUGCAGCCAGAUGCACCCUUCUGCACCUCCCGGCCCAAGUCCCACCAACUCCUCUGCUCUUGGGAGCUGACCCUCAGCCUCUUCCGUCCCUUCCCCGCAAGGCAGCCCACUAACUGGGAGACCAAAGGAGACCACCAGACCCCAGUCCCGAAAACCCCAGCCGGAAGUUCUCACAAGGAAGAGGAGCUGGGGCUGGGAUCAGGGGCCUGUGUCGCCUCCUCCUCUGCAUCAGAAUCUGCCGGCCCAGCUUCUCCAAUGCUCCAUCCUGCCUCCUUCCUCUCCAAAGCCAUCAGCCCAGUCUCCUGGCUCAGAAACCAGCUGCUGGCUAACCUAGUGCUUAACUUAGGUUAAGCACUUUCUUAAAUCCAAGAAAGCAAAUUUCCCCCCAAAAGGUACAGUUCCUCGUGGGACCUGAAUCUGCCACCAAGACCCUCAAAUAUAACUCACCUAAAUUGCCCUGGAAGUACCCGCCGACAGAGUCCUUUAAUAGAAUGCAUUCUAACCAAGGCUUCUGAUUGGUGGAAUAGGAGCUAACCAGGGGUUGUGAUUGGUGGAGUGCCGCUAACCAGGAAUUCUUAUUGGUGGAAUGCUGACCAACCAGGGCUUCUGAUGGCUGACCAACCAGGGGUUCCUGUUGAUGAAGGAUGGUUGAUUGAAAUUUCCAGGUGAUACUGCACUGAAUAAAGUGGAUUUUUCUGCAAA